CUCAUGACUCAUAUUUUAAGAGACUCACAGAUUUUACUCACUCUACCCUAAGGGUGCCAUUAAAUUCCCUAAUUGGAGGAGGGUAGGUGGGUGGCAUUCAGAUUAAUGAUUGCAAUAUGCAAAGAUAUACAACUGGCAAUGCUAAAAGUUAUCCUGUUGUGACAAUGGCCAGUCACAACAAUGAAAUGGCUGACCACCAAUUUCCUUCCCAUCAUUUUGAAGUACAGGAGCCAAAGUGUAAAAUGGUAAGUGGUGAUGGAAUGAGUGAGUAUCAGCAUAAUCUUCACAAGUGUUGCUUUCUGCCCUGUGAUUUCAGAUUAUGCAAUCUUUAAUGGC
rnacentral:lncRNA from 1 species